rnacentral:rRNA from 1 species
CCGCCCUUCAGUGCUGCAGCUAACGCAUUAAGCACUCCGCCUGGGGAGUACGACCGCAAGGUUGAAACUCAAAGGAAUUGACGGGGGCCCGCACAAGCGGUGGAGCAUGUGGUUUAAUUCGAAGCAACGCGAAGAACCUUACCAGGUCUUGACAUCCUUUGACCACUCUAGAGAUAGAGCUUCCCCUUCGGGGGCAAAGUGACAGGUGGUGCAUGGUUGUCGUCAGCUCGUGUCGUGAGAUGUUGGGUUAAGUCCCGCAACGAGCGCAACCCUUAUUGUUAGUUGCCAUCAUUCAGUUGGGCACUCUAGCAAGACUGCCGGUGACAAACCGGAGGAAGGUGGGGAUGACGUCAAAUCAUCAUGCCCCUUAUGACCUGGGCUACACACGUGCUACAAUGGGAAGUACAACGAGUNGCGAAGUCGCGAGGCUAAGCUAAUCUCUUAAAGCUUCUCUCAGUUCGGAUUGCAGGCUGCAACUCGCCUGCAUGAAGCC